rnacentral:rRNA from 1 species
AUUGAACGCUGGCGGCAGGCCUAACACAUGCAAGUCGAGCGGGGUUUUCGGACCUAGCGGCGGACGGGUGAGUAAUGCGUAGGAAGCUACCCGAUAGAGGGGGAUACCAGUUGGAAACGACUGUUAAUACCGCAUAAUGUCUACGGACCAAAGUGCGGGACCUUCGGGCCACAUGCUAUCGGAUGCGCCUCCGUGGGAUUAGAUAGCUGGUGUGGUAAUGGCUCACCAAGGCGACGAUCCCUAGCCGGUUUGAGAGGAUGAUCCGCCACACUGGAACUGGGACACGGUCCAGACUCCUACGGGAGGCAGCAGUGGGGAAUAUUGGACAAUGGGCGCAAGCCUGAUCCAGCCAUGCCGCGUGUGUGAAGAAGGCCUUCGGGUUGUAAAGCACUUUCAGUAGGGAGGAAGGGUGUUGUGUUAAUAGCACAGCAUUUUGACGUUACCUACAGAAGAAGCACCGGCUAACUCUGUGCCAGCAGCCGCGGUAAGAC